rnacentral:rRNA from 1 species
UACGAAGGGGGCGAGCGUUGUUCGGAAUUACUGGGCGUAAAGAGCUCGUAGGCGGUUUGUCGCGUCUGCUGUGAAAACCCGAGGCUCAACCUCGGGCCUGCAGUGGGUACGGGCAGACUAGAGUGCGGUAGGGGAGAUUGGAAUUCCUGGUGUAGCGGUGGAAUGCGCAGAUAUCAGGAGGAACACCAAUGGCGAAGGCAGAUCUCUGGGCCGUAACUGACGCUGAGGAGCGAAAGCAUGGGGAGCGAACAGG